CUUAAUUUUCCCCCAGACAGAGCCACAGUUCACAGCAAUGGCACGGACACAAUGGAAUCCUUAGAAGCCAUCUCUCACUGAAGAAUCAAAGCUCUCCAGCUUAUGCCUCAAUGAACAUCGACUUCCUCUGACUGGUGAGCAGCUUUUGGCUGGAUGUCCAAAGCACAACAAGGCACCUCAGGCCACAGCUCUUUAGUAAGCUACAAAGGACCACUGAAGAGAUUCUUUGGAUGUGUGCUAUUGUGGGAAGCACCGAGGUGAGACGACAAGAGCAUCCACUCAGGAAAGAGGAAGAAGCCAGGGAUACAUGGCUUGAGCAACGCAGUGUCAGCAGUUCAAGGUUCAGAACAACACUAAGAAGCAAUGGUGACUGCUAGAGGGAGCAGUGGAAAUACUGCCAAGUGCUACGAGCAGGGGCGGCUGUGCACAGAGGGAAUAAGCCGAGACAUCGUGAGGCUAGUUCCUGACAGUUCGAGACUCACACACGUCUAACCACUAUACAACAUAGCAUCAGGACUAAAAGGCAUACCAGGAGAAACCGCCAGCUUCUGACUGCCCCAUGGUUUGUCUACAACCUCAGAGGUGUCAUCCUAUCCUUCCUGCACAGGUCCUAGGAGGCCCCUUUGUCACCUGGAACUGUAUACCCACUCCCUACUAUUGCUACCGGCACUUGCACAACAGCACUGAGCGCUGGGUUCUGUGGGAAGAGACCCUUUCUAUGACUGGUUGGUUGCAGGUUUUACAUCACAUGAGGUGCUGAGGUCAAUCAAGGUCGGCAGUUGUGACCUCCAGGUCACUGCAAAGGUCUCAGCAUCCUUUCUCUUCCCAUUUGCAUUUCUGUUCUCCAGUUUAUACACCAGAAGAAAAGGGGUCUAGUGAUGCCCGAAGCUGAACUGUACAGCUUAAUGGCCAGAAACCAGACUUGUCACAUGUAAUCAAAUCAGCGUAGUGUUGGUGACAUAGUUAAGACAGUUGAAAAAUCAGUUGCUGUUCCAAGUUCUAAUUUUCAAGUUAUUGUUGGGGCUGAGACUUCUCUCACCUUGCAGCUUUUAUUUUGGAAGAACUCCAAAGCACACUUUUAGUCAUAUUUGAGUAAUUGAAAC
rnacentral:lncRNA from 1 species